rnacentral:misc_RNA from 1 species
ACACCUCAACUCUCAUGGUUUGCCGUGAUGAGCUUGGACUUUGGGGGUCUUGCUGGCCUGCGGUCAGCUCCUCUAAAAUGAAUCAGCUUUCCAGUGUUUGGUGGCGUCACAGGUGUGAUAACUAUCUACGCUUGUGGUUCUCUGCCAGGUAACCUUCAGCGAUGGGGGUUCGCUGGGGCUCAUAAACGUCCUCUCCUCAGUGAAGACAGCUUUGUGAAC